AGACUUUUGCUUCAAGGUCGUUGAGUGUGAGAAAUGGUUUUCUUUGAUGUUACCUGGUAAAGAUGCCAUGAAGCAUAAGCAUCCGUUGUUGUUUAUGCUCCUUUGACCUCCCAAUUCAAGCCUAAUUCUGUUUGGCUUCAGGAGCUGCAAAGUAACAGUUUUUAAAGCGAAAUAUAACCACAUUCCCAAAGUUCUAAAUAGAAAGAAAAAAACAAGCUUUGAAAUCAACAAGAUAAGGUGGAUAAUGGGUACCUCUUUGCAAUCAAGUGUCUCAGUUAGCGAGGCACGGCCCCAUUUUUCUGAAUCAAGGUUUUUGUGGGCUAAACGUAAAAGAUCUUC